UGGCCAUCAUUUGUGUAUUUCCUUUUGUGAUACUUGUUGGAUACUUUAUUUGUAAAAGGAAGAAAAGACCGAAGAGGAGAAUCUUACAGAAAAAUGAACAAGAAUCUCUGGAACUUAAUCACCAAAAUGAAGAGUAUAAUAAUGAUGCCGAUGAGAACUCUUCUAGCAAUUCUGUGACAUGGGCUAUCUCAACACUUUACGAGUCAUUUGACUACUUUGCAAUGAAGAACAAAGAUGAGAAACCCGUA